CCCAGCUGGCUCAGUGCAUAGAACAUGUGACUCUUGAUGUCAGGACCGUGAAAUCAAGUCCUACACUUGGC
rnacentral:tRNA from 1 species